AACAGACCCAUGAACUGGAUUCUUGUACACAGAGUGCAAGCUUUAAUUAAUGAAAACUGAAAGGAAAGUGAUUUGUAGCACUAAGUCUGCACAUUCCUGCAAAUGCUGUUGUUGCCACUUUGUGAGACACAGAGACGCUUGAACAGCUUGGAUGCUCUGGUUUGUCUGGGAAGAGCCUAGCGUGCUGUGGGCUGUCUUGCAAAGAGAUAACAGUAACAACAGGGACUGGCAUCUUCACAGUCAGAGAUGCAAUGAGAAGUCAGGAGUUACUGGCUCCCGGUGGUGGGCCUGGCUUACAUCUCCUUUCACAGAGCCCAGAAUUGUCAGGACCUAAAAAAUGGAACAGCCCAGAUGGGUUGCAUCAGCCUCUCACCUGCACCUAGCUGCCAAAUAUGAGGUGUCCAUGCUACCAGAUAACUCAUCCUGUUCACAAAAUCUGAUCCAUGAAACAGAACUUAGAGAGCAGCAUGCAAGCCCAGAUUUCCGUGUAAAAUGCUUUUUCCUAUAAGUUGAGAACUGGUGGAGAAAGGAGAGCGUUACUCCUGCUCCAGAGAGCAGCCCUGCUCCGCUCUGCACCCUGAAAACACUCUCUGCAGCACCUCGCUAAGGCGAGCCUGGAUGAAAGGACAUUUCAUAACAGAUCCGGGGUAUUAGAGAUACUAUAUAUUAAAGAAGCAUUGCCAGUGUCCCCGGUGGAGGGUGGGAUGCCGGUUCCAAGGCGCUGCGGAGCGGGUCCCGCAGCUGGAGCAAGAGCACCAUCUGCCGAGCGGCGAGCCUGCCCGGCGGGGACAGCGGGCUCCGGGCCGCAAAACCCGGCUGCUAAUGCUGCUAAGCCCUGCUGGGUGUUAGCCCUGUCCAUGUCCCUGAGCCGGCACCGGCAAUCCAAGUUUGGAGUGCUAACCAAAGGUGGGAUCAGCACGGCUUGCCCUGCCGCCCCAGCCAGAGGGGAAUAAACCGCAGUGACCUGGAUGGAGCCCAAGGGACACCACUGAGCGGGGACAGCAGGCAUGAGCUUGGCUGCAUCCAUGACAAAUGAAAAGAAAGUAUGAAAACUGCAUCAAAUUUUUCAAGGCCAGAUCUCAAAAAACAAGUGGUUGGAAAAAUUUUACUCAGGUCCAGGAAAUUUUAACAAGAAAGAAGAUGAGGGGUACCCUUUCAUGUGAAAAUAGAUCAAUAGUAAGCCUAGAUGAAUAAGACAGAAAAAGCCCCAAGAGAAAUAGAAACUCUGUGAUUCAGAGGAGCUCUGCUGCUGAUGGACUGAUUGGGCAGUGGACUGGAGGCACUGAAAUGGGAAACAAUCUUGGAGUAAGGACCAGUGGCCAAUGAAAGGAAAAUAUAAAUGAGGCGAGGAAACAGAAUGGGAGAAAUUUCCUCUGAUCAAAGACAUGAGGACAAGGAGUCUGAGAUGGAGACAUGAGUCACCUGUGGGUGGAAGGGAUAAAUA